AGUGGAGGAGAUAUCUUUGCUGAUGGCAAGAACUGCUUUUUCUUUUUGACACGGAGUCUUGCUCUGUCGCCCAGGCUGCAGUGCAGUGGUGCCAUCUCGGCUCACUGCAACCUCCGCCUCCCGAGUUCAAGUAAUUCUCUGCCUCAGCCUCACGAGUAGCUGACAGGCGCCCGCCUCUACGCCCGGCUAAUUUUUGUAUUUUUAGUAGAGAUGGGGUUUCACCAUCUUGGCCAGGCUGGUGGAUCACUUGAGGCCAGGAGUACGAGAUCAGACUGGCCAAGAUGGCGAAGCCCCGUCUCUACUAAAAAUACAAAAAUUAGCCGGGCAUGCUGGCACAUGCCUAUAGUCCUAGCUACUUGGGAGGCUGAGGCACAAGAACUGGCUUGAACCCAGGAGGCAGAGGUUGAGGCUGCAAUGAGCCAAGAUGGCACCACUGUACACUCCAGCCUGGGUGACAGAGUGAGACUCUGUCUUUAAAAAAAAAAAAAAAAAAAAAAAAAGAAGGAACAUUAACUGCAAUAUUCUUGAUGAUGCAAAUUUUUAAAAACUAAAUCCAGCCAGAUUUUUCAGCCUUAAAAACUCAGAUCCAAACUAUUCAACGUCUCUACAAAUUACAUACUCAUUGAACUCAGGAACAAUAACAGAAUU
rnacentral:antisense_RNA from 1 species